UACAGAGGGUGCGAGCGUUAAUCGGAAUUACUGGGCGUAAAGCGUGCGUAGACGGUUACGUAAGUCAGAUGUGAAAGCCCCGGGCUCAACCUGGGAAUGGCAGUGGAAACUGGCGAGCUGGAGUGUGGCAGAGGGGGGUGGAAUUCCGCGUGUAGCAGUGAAAUGCGUAGAGAUGCGGAGGAACACCGAUGGCGAAGGCAGCCCCCUGGGCUGACACUGACGCUCAGGCACGAAAGCGUGGGGAGCAAACAGG
rnacentral:rRNA from 1 species